GGAAUUGUUCGCAAUGGGCGCAAGCCUGACGACGCAACGCCGCGUGGAGGAUGAAGAUCUUCGGGUCGUAAACUCCUGUCGAGCGGGAAGAAUUGCUUCGGGGUGAAUACCUCCGAGGCUUGACGGUACCGCCAAAGGAAGCCCCGGCCAACUCCGUGCCAGCAGCCGCGGUAAUACGGGGGGGGCAAGCGUUGUUCGGAAUUACUGGGCGUAAAGGGCUCGUAGGCGGCCAACUAAGUCGGACGUGAAAUCCCCAGGCUCAACCUGGGAACUGCGUCCGAUACUGGAUGGCUUGAAUUCGGGAGAGGGAUGCAGAAUUCCAGGUGUAGCGGUGAAAUGCGUAGAUAUCUGGAGGAAUACCGGUGGCGAAGGCGGCAUCCUGGACCGACAUUGACGCUGAGGAGCGAAAGCUAGGGGAGCAAAC
rnacentral:rRNA from 1 species